rnacentral:rRNA from 1 species
ACGGAGGGUGCGAGCGUUGUCCGGAAUCACUGGGCGUAAAGGGCGCGUAGGUGGUUUGAUAAGGGUAUGGUGAAAGCCCGGAGCUCAACUCCGGGUCUGCCGUGCCGACUGUCAAACUCGAGGGCUGUAGAGGCAGACAGAAUUCCGGGUGUAGCGGUGGAAUGCGUAGAGAUCCGGAGGAAGACCGGUGGCGAAGGCGGUCUGCUGGGCAGUUUCUGACACUGAGGCGCGACAGCGUGGGGAGCAAACAGGA